GUGAAUCUAAGAGAAAUCGUGGAAGAUGAAGAAACAAAAUAGUACCUUAGAUUUCAAGAUUGUGAAGUCUUCUUUUCACAUUCAUAACUUUUUGAUCGGGGGAUUACAUUCAUAAGUUUUGUACCUUGAUCACAUUCGUAAGUUUAGAUCACAAUAUAAGUUUUGUACCUUAGAUCACAUUAUAAGUUUUGUACCUUAGAUCAA
rnacentral:lncRNA from 1 species